rnacentral:rRNA from 1 species
UACGGAGGGUGCAAGCGUUAUCCGGAUUCACUGGGUUUAAAGGGUGCGUAGGUGGGCAGGUAAGUCAGUGGUGAAAUCUCCGGGCUUAACCCGGAAACUGCCAUUGAUACUAUCAGUCUUGAAUACCGUGGAGGUAAGCGGAAUAUGUCAUGUAGCGGUGAAAUGCUUAGAUAUGACAUAGAACACCAAUUGCGAAGGCAGCUUACUACCCGAAUAUUGACACUGAGGCACGAAAGCGUGGGGAUCAAACGGG